UUUAAACGGCCGCGGUAUCCUAACCGUGCAAAGGUAGCGUAAUCACUUGUCUUAUAAAUAAAGACCUGUAUGAAUGGCUAAAUGAGUACCUGACUGUCUCCUUUGAUCAAUCAGUGAAACUAAUCUUACAGUACAAAAGCUGUAAUAAAACCAUAAGACGAGAAGACCCUGUGGAGCUUUAAAUAUUUAUCAAAGUACUACUAUAUAAGCCUACUUUGAGAAAAUUUUUGAGUUGGGGCGACUUUGGAGUAAAACACAGCCUCCAAGAAAAGCACUACUUAAACAAGGCCUACUAGCCAAAGCCAAUGACCCAGUAUUACUGAUCAACGAACCAAGUUACCCCAGGGAUAACAGCGCUAUCUUCUUCAAGAGUUCCUAUCGACAAGAAGGUUUACGACCUCGAUGUUGGAUCAGGACACCCAAAUGGUGCAGCUGCUAU
rnacentral:rRNA from 1 species